rnacentral:rRNA from 1 species
GAUGAACGCUGGCGGCGUGCCUAAUACAUGCAAGUCGAGCGAACAGAUGAGGAGCUUGCUCCUCUGACGUUAGCGGCGGACGGGUGAGUAACACGUGGAUAACCUACCUAUAAGACUGGGAUAACUUCGGGAAACCGGAGCUAAUACCGGAUAAUAUAUUAAACCGCAUGGUUCAAUAGUGAAAGACGGUUUUGCUGUCACUUAUAGAUGGAUCCGCGCCGCAUUAGCUAGUUGGUAAGGUAACGGCUUACCAAGGCAACGAUGCGUAGCCGACCUGAGAGGGUGAUCGGCCACACUGGAACUGAGACACGGUCUAGACUCCUACGGGAGGCAGCAGUAGGGAAUCUUCCGCAAUGGGCGAAAGCCUGACGGAGCAACGCCGCGUGAGUGAUGAAGGUCUUCGGAUCGUAAAACUCUGUUAUUAGGGAAGAACAAAUGUGUAAGUAACUAUGCACGUCUUGACGGUACCUAAUCAGAAAGCCACGGCUAACUACGUG